rnacentral:rRNA from 1 species
UCUAAACCUUUCUUGCGAUGUUAGUGAGCGUUUUCGGUGGAUACGACUACAAUAUCUCAAUUUGUGGUCGUUACAGAUGAUGAGUGAGUGAUGUAAUUCGAACGAUUAUACUCGAAAAUCGAGGAAGUUGUUUCUGCUUCUGUUUUAAUCCUUCUGCACAUUUAGAAGUCAUUUAUGCGUCAAUUUUGAAGUUUACUUGAAAAUUUGUCGUGCAUUCCCUAUGAAAUUAUUUGUAUAGUUACAAAAAGCGUUUGAAACGGGAUCCGUCCCACUUUUUUUUUCGUUUUUUUUUCUWWUUUUUUCAAUUAGUUUUAUUUUAAUUUUAUAAUUUGUAAAUAGAAAAUGCUUUCGCAAACUGAGUGAUAUACAAUUAGUGUGCGAAUUG